UCGUAGUGACCUGCGGAGGAUCAUUACUGAAUUGUCAAACGGGUUGUUGCUGGCCCUCAUAGGGGGCAUGUGCACGCUCUGUUUACACAUCCACUCACACCUGUGCACCCUCUGUAGUUCUAUGGUCUGGGGGACCCUGUCUUCCUUCUGUGGUUCUACGUCUUUACACACACACUGUAAUAAAGUUUUAUGGAAUGUACAUCGCGUCUAACGCAAUACAAUACAACUUUCAGCAACGGAUCUCUUGGCUCUCGCAUCGAUGAAGAACGCAGCGAAAUGCGAUAAGUAAUGUGAAUUGCAGAAUUCAGUGAAUCAUCGAAUCUUUGAACGCACCUUGCGCCCCUUGGCUAUUCCGAGGGGCAUGCCUGUUUGAGUAUCAUGAACACCUCAACUCUCAUGGUUUGCCAUGAUGAGUUGGACUCUGGGGGUUUUGCUGGCCUGUGGUCGGCUCCUCUCAAAUUAAUCAGCCUCCCAGUGUUUGGUGGCAUCACGGGUGUGAUAAAUAUCUACGCUCGCUGUUGUCUGCCAGGUAACCUUUGGUCACAAAGGUUUGCUGGAGCUCACAGAUGUCUCUCCUCAGCGAGGACAGCUUUUUUAACGUUCGAUCUCAAAUCAGGUAGGACUACCCGCUGAACUUAAGCAUAUCAUA
rnacentral:rRNA from 1 species